rnacentral:rRNA from 1 species
GACGAACGCUUGCGGCGUGCUUAACACAUGCAAGUCGAACGGAAAGGCCCUGCUUUUGUGGGGUGCUCGAGUGGCGAACGGGUGAGUAACACGUGAGUAACCUGCCCUUGACUUUGGGAUAACUUCAGGAAACUGGGGCUAAUACCGGAUAGGAGCUCCUGCUGCAUGGUGGGGGUUGGAAAGUUUCGGCGGUUGGGGAUGGACUCGCGGCUUAUCAGCUUGUUGGUGGGGUAGUGGCUUACCAAGGCUUUGACGGGUAGCCGGCCUGAGAGGGUGACCGGCCACAUUGGGACUGAGAUACGGCCCAGACUCCUACGGGAGGCAGCAGUGGGGAAUAUUGCACAAUGGGCGGAAGCCUGAUGCAGCAACGCCGCGUGCGGGAUGACGGCCUUCGGGUUGUAAACCGCUUUCGCCUGUGACGAAGCGUGAGUGACGGUAAUGGGUAAAGAAGCACCGGCUAACUACGUGCCAGCAGCCGCGGUGAUACGUAGGGUGCGAGCGUUGUCCGGAUUUAUUGGGCGUAAAGGGCUCGUAGGUGGUUGAUCGCGUCGGAAGUGUAAUCUUGGGGCUUAACCCUGAGCGUGCUUUCGAUACGGGUUGACUUGAGGAAGGUAGGGGAGAAUGGAAUUCCUGGUGGAGCGGUGGAAUGCGCAGAUAUCAGGAGGAACACCAGUGGCGAAGGCGGUUCUCUGGGCCUUUCCUGACGCUGAGGAGCGAAAGCGUGGGGAGCGAACAGGCUUAGAUACCCUGGUAGUCCACGCUGUAAACGGUGGGUACUAGGUGUGGGGUCCAUUCCACGGGUUCCGUGCCGUAGCUAACGCUUUAAGUACCCCGCCUGGGGAGUACGGCCGCAAGGCUAAAACUCAAAGGAAUUGACGGGGCCCCGCACAAGCGGCGGAGCAUGCGGAUUAAUUCGAUGCAACGCGUAGAACCUUACCUGGGUUUGACAUGGAUCGGGAGUGCUCAGAGAUGGGUGUGCCUCUUUUGGGGUCGGUUCACAGGUGGUGCAUGGCUGUCGUCAGCUCGUGUCGUGAGAUGCUGGGUUAAGUCCCGCAACGAGCGCAACCCUUGUUCACUGUUGCCAGCACGUUAUGGUGGGGACUCAGUGGAGACCGCCGGGGUCAACUCGGAGGAAGGUGGGGAUGACGUCAAGUCAUCAUGCCCCUUAUGUCCAGGGCUUCACGCAUGCUACAAUGGCUGGUACAGAGAGUGGCGAGCCUGUGAGGGUGAGCGAAUCUCGGAAAGCCGGUCUCAGUUCGGAUUGGGGUCUGCAACUCGACCUCAUGAAGUCGGAGUCGCUAGUAAUCGCAGAUCAGCAACGCUGCGGUGAAUACGUUCCCGGG